rnacentral:rRNA from 1 species
UACGGGGGGAGCAAGCGUUGUUCGGAUUUACUGGGCGUAAAGGGCGCGUAGGCGGUCGUGACAAGUCACUUGUGAAAUCUCCGGGCUUAACUCGGAGCGGUCAAGUGAUACUGUCGGACUAGAGUACAGAAGGGGCAACUGGAAUUCUCGGUGUAGCGGUGAAAUGCGUAGAUAUCUGGAGGAAUACCGGUGGCGAAGGCGGCAUCCUGGACCGGCAUUGACGCUGAGGAGCGAAAGCUAGGGGAGCAAACGGG